rnacentral:snoRNA from 1 species
GCCCUCCAGUUCCUCACCCAUCAUAGAUCAAAACAUCGGUCUGAGUGUCCAUAAAAGGAGGAAAAGUGUGGAACUGGACUUAGAUUCUUUUAUUAAAAAAUGC